GUGAUUGUGACUUAGUGGCGGACGGGGUGGAGGUAACGACGUGGGUAACCGUGCCGUACUGCAGGGGGACGAACAGAGGGAAACUUCUGCUAAUACCGCAUAAGCGCACGGGAUCGCAUGAUCCAGUGUGAAAAGAUUUAUCGGCAUACGAUGGACCCGCGUCCGAUUAGCUAGUUGGUGAGGUAACGGCCCACCAAGGCGACGAUCGGUAGCCGGCCUGAGAGGGUGAACGGCCACAUUGGGACUGAGACACGGCCCAAACUCCUACGGGAGGCAGCAGUGGGGAAUAUUGCACAAUGGGGGAAACCCUGAUGCCAGCGACGCCGCGUGAGUGAUGAAGUAUUUCGGUACGUAAAGCUCUAUCAGCAGGAAAGAAAAUGACGGUACCUGACUAAGAAGCCCCGGCUAACUACGUGCCAGCCGCCGC
rnacentral:rRNA from 1 species